UUUACUUAUUCAGUUUGUUUUUCGCGAUACUUUUUUUUCUGGGCAAAACUUCAUCUCCAUCAUUAAUGUUGUCGGUUCAGUCGUGUUGAGCUGGUUGGUUGGGUAGAGCUCUUGUUCCCGUUUCAAGUUGGUUGCCUUUCUCAUUCAGUCGUAACUUUCGCACAUUUCUCAGAAGCAGAAGCAGCAUUUCUCAGUGUCUUCGCACAUCAGAGAGCAUUUCUCAGCGUCGUCUUCCUCACUUUUUAGGUUUCUCUCGCAUUUCCUUAUUUCUUCAUCUUCCACCUAUUAUAAUCACGUUCUACCAAUUAUAAUCCCUUUCCACCAGUUUAAAACCACUUUUCCACCUAUCAAUCGGUCCAUUCUAGGGUUCCAUGGUUCCUUCACGGUUUUGCAUCGAUUAAACAAGUUCUCUUGAGGGGCGUGUGCUACCAGGGAACAGCUCUUACAACUCAGAGAGUAUUUUUUAUGUUUUGAUUUAUCUGUUUUAAAGCACCACUUCGAAGGAUUUGACGGGGGGCAUUGGUGCCAGUGGAAGGACCCGAUUAUCCACUUUUUGCCCUUGAAGUCCUUACUUCCUUUGCAGAUAAACCCUGAGAAAUCUAGGGAAGAGUUUCGAAAUGCUGCUAAAAGAAAUGGUGGAACUGGGGUCAAAGAUUUCAUUGAUGGCAUGGGUCUUGGAAUGAUUGCAGACCAGAUGAAUUAGAUGCAAUUGCC